AUUGAACGCUGGCGGCAGGCCUAACACAUGCAAGUCGAACGAGUGGCGGACGGGUGAGUAAUGAUUGGGAAUCUGGCAAAUGGAGGGGGAUAACGAAGGGACAAUGUCGCUCAUACCUACUACCAUCGGAUGAGCACCAGUGGGAGUAGGUAGUUGGUGGGGUAAGGGACUACCAAGACGAAGAUCUCUAGCUGGUCUGAGAGGAUGACCAGCCACACCGGGACUGAGACACGGCCCAGACUCCGACGUGAGGAAGCAGGGGGGAAUAUUGCGCAAUGGGGGCAACCUGAAGCAGCCAUGCCGCGUGAAUGAAGAAGGCCUUCGGAUGGUAAAGGUCUUUCGGUGACUAGGCGUUAAUCACAGAAGAAGCACCGGCUAACUACGUGCCAGCAGCCGCGGUAAUAC
rnacentral:rRNA from 1 species